rnacentral:rRNA from 1 species
UACGUAGGGGGCUAGCGUUGUCCGGAAUCAUUGGGCGUAAAGCGUGCGUAGGCGGCCAGAUAAGUCCGGUGUGAAAGUCACAGGCUCAACCUGUGAAUGCCGCUGGAAACUGUCUGGCUAGAGUCCGGAAGGGGCGAGUGGAAUUCCUGGUGUAGCGGUGAAAUGCGCAGAUAUCAGGAGGAACACCAAUGGCGAAGGCAGCUCGCUGGGACGGUACUGACGCUGAGGCGCGAAAGCGUGGGGAGCAAACAGG